UGUAAAAAUUAACGGCAAACUUGAGACUGGUUAAUGGUUAAAAUGUAACCAAAUAAAUAGACGGGAUUAAGUCUUAAUCUAGAUAUACUCUUUUGAUCCUGAUAGGAAUGAUCAAAAUUACUGCUACUAAUUAUCCGAUCUUUCAACUCUUUCUUUUACGCGCCUCACUCUAGAUCUUAUUGUAUUUUAUUUUCCUCUAAUUGUUUAAUUAUUGAAUUUAUUUGUUUUUAAUUUAUUUAGCUUCAAUGUAAUUAUAUUUUGAUUGAAUUCAGUGUUCCACAAUACCUUUUUAGAAAUGCUUAUUGAAAGUAGAUAUUGAAAAGAGCAACCCUUCACAGUGAAGCAAGAUAGCCUAAAUCAUCCAGGCCCAAUCGGUACUUGAGAUCAAGACUGUGAGCUUGGGUAAAGUUGCUGUGGAAGUGGAAAUCGAGGUGAUGUGUUGGACCGAAAUGUAUUCCAGCUCAAUAACGACUGGAGCUGUUUUAUAGUCUAACGAGUCAAGUCCAACUAGACCUUUGAAGCAAUCGAAUCUGAGCGUUCAAUUAUUGUCACUGUUGGUAAAAGUGUCGAUACUAUUGAUGUCAACAUUAAUAUCGCAACACUACUUGCCUCUUGUCUUAACUGUUGAUUGUUUUUUAUCGAUAUGACCAUGUUUAACGUCAUUAUUGAUUGUGAUAUUAAUACUUGAUUCAGUGUUUAUACUUGUCGGCUGAUUAGUUAGCAUUUAUAAUUAAUUCAAAUGUAAAAUAACCGAUCGUUUGAUUGAGAUGAAACUGGUAAUUAAAGUUAAUUGGAUUCUGGCUAAAUCAAGCACCAAUGCAAUUGGAUAUGGCUAUUGCUGAAAUUUCUGGUAAUUGGUGAAAUCGUCAGCUGACUUGACUUUCGCUCUCAAAUGUCUAUAUGAUUGAUUGGUGACUUUGUUACUGUUAAUUACCUAGUUAAUGAUUGACGAUUUCCCUAAGCACUUUAAACGACAUUGCAAAUCUCAUCUCGAAAAUUUAGCAGAUUCUAAACGCCAGAUUUCAUUUUGAUACUUAAGGAAUAGUAACUGCUAAUCUUGGAAAUUAUCUCAUAGCUAACGAACACUCAUUGGAUAGACUGAACAAGUGCUGUUAAAGCUUUUGGUGUUGAUAUUGGUUUAAAUAGCAAUCAUCUGCACACCAAUUUCGUGAUACCGCUAACACUUAACACCGUUAAUACAACUAAUUUAAUGUUGGUUAAAAUUGGAUAAUAUGAAAGCAAAGGGUUUUCGUAUUAAAAGUGAAUCGUUUUUUGAUUAAAAUUGGAUUGAAGGAUCAAACCUCUGAACAAUCAGGAGAUUAUUAUGCAAUGAGCUGCAUCUUUAUCAAUGGGUACAAUUAGUGUUUGAUCGCGUCAUUCAAGUGGCUUCAAGGGAUAAUUGUUAUUCAUUGGUAGGAAAAAUACAAUUGGAAAGUCCAUCCACUUAUCAUGCAAGGAAAUCAGUGAGAUCACCAUUCAAGUUCAUGCUGAACAUUUUUUUGGAUUCCCUGUCAACAGCGUUUGGUAGAGCAGCUGAUAAUUAUAUUUUGGCCAUUGAUUGAUACAUUGAAUCAAAAUGAUCUCUCUCCCUCUUCUUGAUUGAUGAUCUCGUUUGAUUAAAGCUAAUGAAGUAAUUAACUUUGUUGAAACUGGUUUCAAGUGAUUAAAACAAAUGGAAAUACUUAA